UUCGGUACGAUCGGUGACAGGUGGUGCAUGGUGUCGUCAGCUCGUGUCGUGAGAUGUUGGGUUAAGUCCCGCAACGAGCGCAAUCCCUAUUGUUAGUUGCCAUCAUUCAGUUGGGCACUCUAGCGAGACUGCCGGUAAUAAACCGGAGGAAGGUGGGGAUGACGUCAAAUCAUCAUGCCCCUUAUGACCUGGGCUACACACGUGCUACAAUGGUUGGUACAACGAGUUGCGAGUCGGUGACGGCGAGCUAAUCUCUUAAAGCCAAUCUCAGUUCGGAUUGUAGGCUGCAACUCGCCUACAUGAAGUCGGAAUCGCUAGUAAUCGCGGAUCAGCACGCCGCGGUGAAUACGUUCCCGGGCCUU
rnacentral:rRNA from 1 species